AGACCAUAACAUUGGCUCAGCACAGGAGGGGGUGAACAGCUGCAUGAAGGCAGGAAUAAACAGUCAAGACUGAAGAAGGACAGGAAGUUUUAAAACCAGUGCUGUCACUAGAGACGUGUAAGAUGAAAUUGCACCUUCCACAGAGCUGAAGGUUUCCUGACAUACCAGAACUCUCACAGAGACAUUCUGUGUAUGUGCAUAUAUCACAUGCCCAGAAAGCACAGAGCUGGCUGCAGCAAAAAAUCCAACUGGUGAAAAAGUUCCAGCAUUUCUAUCUAUUCUUCUUUUCACUUUAGUUGAAGGGUCUUUGCUGAAUUCUAAAUGCUUCACUUCAAAUUCAGAGCUUUGUAGUUUGUUUGUGCCUUUUUAAAAUAGUUGUAUUGGUUUAGAUAUAGUUUAAGUUUCAUUUCAUUUAAGUUUCAUUAAUUAUCAUUUUAUUAUAUAUCUGUUAAAAAUUAUUUUAUUAGAAGUACUGUAGAUAUUUUACAAAUAAGUAUAUUAAACUUUAUUCAGUAAAUUAAUUACAGAGGGUAAGAAGUGGUAGUCAUUAUUCAAUUGUUCACCAUUUCAUAGUAUUAUUUCAUAUUUCACAUUUUAAUUCAUUUUAAAAAUGAUAAUAUGACUAUAUAGAAUUAAGACGUGAACAAUUUAAAACACAUUUCAAAAUUUAAACAACUUGGAAAUUAUAGUCUUGAAUUUUUUUAUAAUUUUUUUUUUAACUUCUGAAGUGUUUUGCUCUAUGUUAAGUCAGAAGUAUCACUUUAAUAUUUCUCACCAAAAUUAGUGUUUCCUGUGUUUUGCUCAAGAAACACACAUAUUCUACCUCUGCCAUGUAGCAUUAUUUGCCUGGGUAGGUAUUCUAGCUAAUACCUGUACCUGUGAACUUCUGUCUGCAGUGGGCAAGAGUAAAGCAAAGGAUGCAGCCUUGAGCAUGCCACCUCAGUUGUGGCAGGCUUUUGAAGAGUUAAGUAAAGAAACAACAGAAUAAAAAAAAAACUCAGAGGAGAAGGAAAAAAACUGUGAUAUCAGCAUGCUGGAGGCAAACCCCUAGUAUUAUUUUGGUAGUUACAGUCUCUGUUACUGAUUAUUUGGUGCUUACCUGUUUUUGUGGACCUCAGCAAGCUGUGCACUUGCACAGCUUUUCUUCAUUUCACCAGAUGGUUCCAGUGAAUUUUAUGGUCAAGAUCUGAUUCCUGGGGCUAUUAGAGGGACUUUCUCUGUGGUAAGAUGCUUACUUAGCUCUACCCAUUUUCUGAUACUGCAGUCAUUUUGCUGUGGCAAUCAAUUUUACAUAGAAGAGGUUAGAUUCUUUUGGAAACAACCACAAAAACUUCCUCGGUUAAUUAGAGAGAAGUAUGUUUGCAUGAAGCAUUCAGUGUAAAAGUUGUAACAUUCGACCUCUAAUAAUUUAUUUUUUGGUUUUGAGGCAACAGUCUUUCUACAGACAUUAAAUCAUGUAAUGCAAAUAAAGGAUCAAUCAUUCAGAAUUUCCCCUCUUUUUUUCCACCCCUCCUUUUGGAACACUAUUGUUCCAGUUCUCUGAUUAUUUGGACCAUUCCUGGAAUUCUUGCUUUUAAUUUAAAAAUUUCAGAAAUGUUGUUGUGCAGCUUGUAUGCAUCUUUUUUCAUAAUUGCAAAUGAAAGAACUUUGCUGACAGAAUUUACAAUAUAGAAUAAAAGAAUCUCUAACUGUCCUAACCAACUGUGUAUGUUCACAUUCAGUGUUUUCUUUUGAGAAAACCAUGUGCGUAAGUUGUGGCAUUUUGUGAAGGUAUCCUGAGACCUAGUUCAGUGUCAGAUAGCAGAAAAGUAAUAAUGUGGAUAUACUCAGAGCAGCAUGAUGCCAAACUUUUAAACAGGCAUUAUGAGAAAUAUAUGCUCCUUUAGCUGGCAAUAUAUAUGUUAGAGACAGAUGGACACCUUCCUUUUACCUUUAACAUUCAUACUUCUACGCGCCUUCACAUCACACUUCUUUCCAGUUCCAAAUCUGUCACUUAGUUCCCACCACAUGACCUCUUUCCCCUUCUGCAAAUUCAGGAAAGCCCUUUUUUGGCACAGCAGUCAUGGCAAUGGCAAGUGUUGGUGUGGCAAACCACUACACUGGUCAUGAGCAGUGCCCUCAGAUUUCUGCAUGUGAGGCAUUCAUACCUGGCAGGUUAGGUGGUACAUGAGGCAAUAGGCUCCUUUUGGUGUCUGUGACCCAUUUUCUUCAGACUGCUGGUAAGUAGUAUUUCACAAUGUGGAUGAUAAAAAUUGUGAGUUCCUCUACAGUACUGGAUAUAUAAGCACCACUCUAAUGAGAGCUCAGGCAAGGAAAACUAAUGGAUGCAGAAGUGAAAGAUGUCUCUCCUAAGAGAACUUUCAGCUUGGCCCUAUCUUCCCUAUACAGUGGUUCAUUGUCUCAUUGAGCCCUGAGCUUCUGGGGUAGUGGGGAACCUUCCUGAACUGACCCUCUCUGAUGGUACUUAGAGAUACAGCAUGGCAACAGAGAUAUCAAUAAACACAGUUGUUAGGCAAAAGAGCUUGUUUGCAGCUUUAUGAGGACAGUCAUGAUAUUAAAAUGAAGUUACCAUUCCCCAUGGUAAAGUCUUUAGCUCUUGCCUACUAUGAUCACAUCACUUUGUUUUAGGGUUGACACAAUGAGUUUGGGAAGAGUACUGAGAUAAUUCUUGGGAUACACUCCAAGCUUCAUUAUUUCUGCUACAUACCCACAGCAAGGAAUCAUUAAGAUUUUUGAAGCAAUUCCUGACUGCCAUUUUAUGAUACAAUAAAGUAUGUUUAUGCAACUGAAGUGUCUAUUAUGUGAAAGAAGGAAAAGAAUGAUUAAGCAAUGUAACAAAAGUGGCAUACUGCCAGGGCUUUGGCUCACUUGCACUUUUUAUAAAUAUAACUGUGUUAACUAAACUUUGAAAUAUUUUCUUAGAAAAUAUUGUCAGUUUGACACAUAAAAUCCACAGAAAGUGACUGUAUGCAGUAGUUCUGAUUUUGAGGUGGAGUCCUGAAUAGCUGCCUUUGGUUCAAAAAGUUUGUUUGGGAUAUUUCCCCUAAUAUUCUUUUGAAAAACUACUUCUUGUUGUAGAAGAUUCUCUAGCAAGGGGAUUAACCCCAUAAUAUACAGAAUGUGAUCAGAGGGAAAUAAAGAGACUGAGAAUGGCGUGAGCAGCCAUUAUGGUGACAGUAACUUGGUGUGCAUUACCAUUCAAACAUAAUUAUUUAAGGGAAAGUUAAUUACCAAGGGAAAAGAAGACUUGUACCAGGAGAAGCAGCUACUGAAGAGGUAAUGGAAGGGGCAGUGCUCUUUCUUUGUAAGGUGGAUUGUCCACUGUGCUCUGUAUUGCUUUUUACACUUAACAAUGUCUUCCUGGCCCAGAGAAGUAGUGGUUAAAUACUCUGUACCCAUAUGAUACCAAAUUAAUUGCAUUGCUGUCUAUAUAAUUUCUGGACUAGGAGCCACCCACUCUCUUUUUUAUUCCUAUGACAGCAUUGGCCAGGGAUUAUGAUCCAGAGAAUUGCAGAAAGAUGUUGAGAUGAGAUCUGCAUUUUCCCUUUGUGCUUCCUAAGUCUAAAUGCAGUCAGGAUGAUAGGGGUCAACAUUGGAGAUUUCCAUGUAUUUUGAAAUUAAAUUGGACAGAUUAUUGUAAAGGUUUGGGUUCUAAUGUAUUCUUGUUUGUAUCCAGCUUUAAGAAACUGGUCACAGAUAUCUCUUUGUUCAGCACAGGUGAAGUGUCUCAGCCUUCACCUGCACAAUACUUGGGGGAAAUCUUUGCUGAAUAUGUUUUAAUGUAAUCUGUGUGAUAUAGGGGUAUCCCAAUUACGUGUUGUGUGUCAUUUUUACUUUGAAAUGUGUUAUCUCUGAUCCGACCAAGGUUCAGAAAGGGGAAUCAGCAAAAGAUGUGUAAUGUUACUCUGAAGAGUGGUUUCCAAAAAUUUGCUGCAGUAGAAGUCCAGUGCUGGUGUCAUUUUUUGACAACCCUGGAAUUAUUUUCUUGGCUUUCACAAUUCCUUCCAAAAUCAUUCUGUGUUUUAGUACUUUCACUUUCCUUGUUGUUCUUUCUUCUGCAUUUUGUCUUAAUUUAUGGAAGAAUACCCUCAGGGUAUUUAUAAACUACCUUGGUUCAGGGUAGUUAUAAACUACCUUGAGAUGAGUAGUUGCUGCUGAUGUGUACUCUCUAUCCUGAGCUUCAUCUUUGUCUAUCAGCCACAGCAGGAAAAACCUUUCCUGUGAAGUAUCUGUUUAUAACCUCUAAGGUGCCAUCAGCUGAAGCAGAGUAUGGAACAGUAGUCAACUGAAGGGGAAAGAGAACACUUUGUUCUGUUACAGAAAGGAACACUUCAGAGUUCACAUUUUAUUGGCACAUACAUUAUUUUGUGCACAUGGUGAGGGAAGAAGUCAUGCAAUGAGGGACCAAGGGAAUAUUAAAUGAGUCAACGGAUUGAGGAGGUGCUUGAGGAGAGUAAUCAAAACCAGGAGAGUUUGUUACUUCAGAAAAGGAAACAUUACAAAGAAUAGACUAUUCAUCCUGGACAUCAUUUGAAAUGUGCAUGAAAUGGGUGUGGGUUUGGUAAUAAAAGCUGAACUUGCUUGACAAUCUUCCAAUAGCUUCCCAUGAGUUCCCAGAACAAAGUUAUUUAAAACUUCUCUUUUAUAUAUGAGCCCAUGAUAAUCCUGGUAUAGUUACGUUGGACAUUUUCAUGGGCUUUGAGGUUUAUCUCUCCUGAAGUGUCAACUUCAGGGGGUGGGGCAUGGAUCUUGUGGGGUUCCAUUUUAAAAUCUGAUUAAAAUAGUAGCUGGGAUCAUACAUCCUUCAUUCCUGUCAGAUGUGACCCCUCUGUGGAAGAAAUUUAAGAUCCAUUCGUAAUGCAAGGGACAGGAAGUGAAAAUGUGUGCAUGUCCUGUGAUCUGUGAUGUGUGCAGUGGUCCCUCCAGAACCAGGUGGACUGAUGUGAGGACAAGGGUGGUGCAUGAUGGCUGUGAAUGAGAUUUAGUGAUGUGCUGGUAUUUAAGAUGACUCCAAGUCAGUAUGAUACCAGGGCAGUAUAGGAAUUACAGUGAGCCAAAGAGUUCCUUCAAGAUGUGAAUGAAACCAGUUUGGAACCACUGUGAGGUAAGAGUAUUAAGGACUAAAGUUCACCAGAAAGACAUCAAGAGUUUUUCUCUCCAAGUUACCGAGUGUAUUAUCAAUUUACCAGAAGUCACUAGCUAACCCUUUAACAAAUAAUUCUGGCAUGUGAGAUCCAGUCACCGCAGCAGAUCAUCUCAAAGGCUUUCUAGGUGGUGGGAAGGGAAGAAUCUUAGGGCCCUUCUUGAGUGGCUAGCACUACAAAACCAUGCUCUUUUGCAGUGUUAGCACUGAGCAUCUCAUGGCCUGAAGCUUUGAAUACUUUUCCAGGAUGUCCUUGCCUUUUCCAUGGUAUUUGUUUUGGUUUAUCUGCCUGCUAGGCUCCCCUCUUCCCUUACCUCACUACUAGAUUUGCUAAUUUCACUGAAGAAUGUGGCUAGCAGCCCAAUUCUGUAUUUUAUCAAUGUUAUUCUUUCUGUUUCCAGAACAAACUAAUAACAUAUGUUGCAUGCACCCAAACAUUCUCAGGUUUAACUUGUCUUAGUUUUCAAUCAUUCUCAGUUGUGGGUUGGGUUUUUUUUUGGCACAGAGACUGUUUCUGUCACCCUUGUACCAAACACAAAGAGUGGGAUUCUCCUUUUUGUGACACAUCCCUCAUAGAGAUUUGAUAUGGUUUAGAUUGAUCAUACUGGUACAAUUUCCUCAUCUUGGCUUUAUAAUAAAGCUAGCAUUCCUGCAGUUUGGGUCCAUGAUUCAGAAAUUAUCCCCUGAAUGAACCAGUGGUGUAGCCUGAUGCCUUCUAGGUCCUGUGUCUUCCUACCAUUUCUCCUCACCUUGCCAUCAGCUUGGAGUCUUCUUCUCACUGAUCUUCAUGUCACUACUGCCAUCUUCCUCAGAGGUGCAUCCUGACUGUGCUCUCCUAAGACUUUUCCCAUAUCAUCUCAAAAAACACCACAGUACACUUAGGAGUUGCUGGCAUGAGUCAGCCUGCAGUCCCACACAACCAUACUAAAACAAAGAUCAGAAAUACUUCCCAACUUUAUUAUUAUUACUGAGUUGUUCUCAAUGGCAUCUACUAUAUCAUUAGCCCUGAAAGAAAAUCCUGCUUUUGUAGCUCUAGCUUUUCCAACACAGACAAAAGCACUGAAGUGUUGUAUUAGGGUUCUUCUUUGUUUGCUUCUUGGGGGUUUUGUUUUGGGUUAUUUCCUUGGGGGUUUUUUUGUUUGUUUGUUUAAUAUAAAGAAAUACCCAAAGGCUCACCCAUAUCCUUUAUUCUGUUGUGACCUUUUCUGUACCAAAGACAGUGUCUAGUAGUUAGCAAAAUUAUUAUUUUACACACAUUAAUUUAAAGUGAAAAAUGUAUUCAUAUUGUAUUGUGAGUAGGGACGUCCUAUUCUGCAUCUUAUUUUAUGACACAUUCUUUGUAGAAAACUGAUUUCUACAAGAGCUCAGGGUGCAUUUCCUCCUCAGGUACAUCCAUACAAAUGAUUUAUGAGUUAUAUUUUGUAAUUUAUUUAUUUUGAGCCUCUUCCAUGAUGCAUGUUUUCUUGAGACAGGUCAUGUGUCACCAAGUGUAAAGAUUUGCCAAAAAUAUUGUAACUCCUUUCCAGCCAAUCACACAGGCUUCAGAAGGGAUUUUAUUUUAAUUGUCUCAUUGGAUCAGAGCAUUUGGAGAUAAGAUAAGGCAAGAUUUAGGGUUUGUCAGAGCAAACCUAGCAAGAAUAAAUUAAGAGCUGCAGUGGGAUUGCAAGGUCCACCACAGCAAGAAUUCUAAGCAGGUACUCUGAGAUUCCAGAAGAACAUACUAAGGGGUUAAACUGGAGACCUGCUUUAUUCUGUUUAUAAAUCAGGCUCAAACCUUAGUACAUUUCCUCCAAAGGCCUGCCAGAAAGAGGCCCUGGAAAACAGGCUGUCUAGGGUCUGUAGGGAUAUACAGAGCUCUGGCCAAUUUGAUCACAAGUUGACACAUAGCCACGUUCUGCAGUGAAGCACAGGUUUGUCGGACCAAUAAAGAAGGGAGUGUUUUGUGAACUUCUUCAAGAAGUCUAUCUUUCAAAAUAUGAUACCUGGAAUCUGGGGAUAAAAAUGAUGUGUCAGCUUUAUAUCUGUUGGAGUCUUGGGUGUUUAAGUCUCUGUCAGCAUGGGAAUUCCCACCAGUAAUCUUCAGGUCUGACUGGUUUAGUGAAGAAUUUAAUGGGAAGAAGAGUGUGGAGGAAUAACUGUAGUAAUUUCUUAGUAAUUUUUGAAAAUCUGACACAUCUCAAAAUGUGGCAAACAGUUUAUAAUCUUAGAGGACAGAUUUAAAACAGUAUUUUGAAAUGUGAAAUAUAUAUACUUUUUUGUUGUUUUUUUGAUGAUGAUGAGCCAGCAGGGCUUGCUGUAGAUGUGCAAUGAUAGGGCUCUCUUCAAAGCUAACUCCCACCACAGAAAAAUUAAGCAAUUUCUUAGGAAAACGGGCUAAGAAAGAUUAAGCUGACAUUUACAGAUAUGGUAACCCUAAAGAAGCAAAGCUGUCAGUACCAAGUCCCCAAAGCAUGUGCAUUUCCAGGGAGUUAACUUUGGAUCAGUUGUGAUGUCCUGGACCUCUCUCUUCUGUAUCCUGGACUGAAUGCCCAUCAGUGGCUGGUGUGCACAAUGUGCCCCAGGAGAGAGGCUUCAAAAGGCCUGACAAAGACUGGGCAUGCCCCACUCUUCUGGGCAGCUGGACUGGCUGCCACCAGACUACUGCAGAUGAAGAGGUUAUUUCCAGCAGGAACAGCCAUGGCUUUCUCUUCUGCUCUCCUCCUAUCCUAACAGGAAAGGAAGCCAGAUGCACUACGGUUCUGCUUAUUUCCCUUUCAGCUCCCUCUGCAUCUCUAGGGCUGAAGAAAGCUUUGUGAAGCAUUUCCUGUACUUGGCUGUUUCAAUCUUAGGCUUGCAUACCAUCCAAGAGCCCUCCUUGCAGCCAAAACAGAUGAAAUGGGAAGAGACACAUGGGUCCUUGAUCCAAAUCCCUUGGUCCAUCUCCAUGGGUGAGAAAAAGUUUACAGUAUCCCAAUACAUCAAUUUUUCAAGUUUUACUUGAUAUUCCUCCUAGAGAGCUGAUAAAUUUCAGUAUGACAAGCACUCAGGGGACAAGUACUACAUUCCUGGUUAAAUUCAGUGAAGCUCUCAGAAAAAAUAAUGGGCAUCUAAAAGGUUGUAAAAUAUAUAAUAAAAAGAGCCAACGAUUUUUAAAAUUACACCAUUCAUCAUGUUAAGCAAUAUCAAUCUACUAACCACUUCCAUGCAGUCAGGUGGGACGCAAGCCUGAAAAUGUUGGCAUAUUUGGAGAAAAGCUGAUACCUCUACAAGUUGUUUUUAAGUACAGUAAUAAUCAGAAAACAUUAAACUUCACAAAAGAAGAAGUUAAAUGGUUUCUGGAACAAAGUUUCAUGGAUACACUCAUCCUUUUUUUAUUAAAACUGCAACAAUUCUCUUUCAAAACUUCAUUCCAGAGUGCAUUGUUCCAAUGGAUUUUUUUCUUGCUAAGCAGACUGAUGAAAAUGUGAUGUUUCCUUGCCAUAUAAUCUCAGUUGCAAGACUUGGUUCAUCAGUUCUAUAGACUGCCUGCCAAAACUUCAAACCCAACUGAUAGUAUUCACCAGCUAAAAAAAAAAACCAAACCAACAAACUUAUAAAAAUGCAGCCUCCUUAAUUGUCAUCUUCUGCUCAUAUUCUGGUUAGUGGCUUUCAUAUCAGCUGUGUGUACUUCUUUGUUCUGUUCCAUAGUGUUCUGUGGAUCUCUUCAUGUUUCCUCGAAAUGCUUCCUGUCCCUCCCUGACGAGGAGGAGGUGCUUUUCCCAUGUUUCCUACCUUCAAACAGGGCUGCAGGUCUGGCUGGCUUCUUUGAGCACACUCAGCUCUGUGGAGGGAAUCUUUAGCACUGUGACUCUGCUCACGAAUUCAUCUUUAUCCUAUUUUACCCACACCGUUUAGGGACUACUGUGUUGUCCUCCACAAGCAGAAGUACCCAAAGAAAUAUGGUUUGCUCCAGUGGCUAUUCUUUCUCCAUUGGUGAGAGCUGUUACUCCUACCCAGCUUUUGCUCUGCAGAUCCAAACCAUCCCAAUAGUACACAGAUCUACAGAGGCAGUCAGCAAGGCCCUGGUAAACAGCUCACAGCUGGCCCAUCAGAUGAGAACGGAAUUUACAAAUUUUUGCAUGGUUUUGUUGUCUGCAGGACAGAGGUGGCCUGUCAGUCUGAAACACCAAGGAAUAUAUUUUAAUUAAAGCAUGGGUUAAAAAACCCUUCUAGCUAUAUAUAGAUCAUAGAUCAUUAGUAAUAAUGGUAGUAUUUCAAGCAUGCUUCCCUGCAUAAAACUUUUUAAAUAGAUGUAUAACUUGUGGUGAAAGGACUUGAUCUGCUCAUACAGUGACCACCACAAAAUGACACUUCACUCAAAACCAUGAAGCUGAAUUUUCAAUUUCAUGGUUUUUUGAUGACAUUGAAAUGCUUGGUCAAAUGUGACCCUUGUAAAUUUGAAAUCUUCUCCACAUUGCCUUUCUGUAUUGCACUGUAUUGGCCAAUUAAGAUAGUCUUGUCGACACAAAUACAGAUCUAUGUUCAGUUGCUACUGUGACAAUUUUUAAACUGUAUAUCCACUCACAGCUACAGAGGAAUGAACAAAGUCUCUUGAGGGCAGAAACAGUGGAACACAGUCUGAUGCUAUGCUAACUGUGCAUGGUCACCUGUAGCUCACACUUCCUACUUCAGAUGGCUGUGAAAUAUCCUGAAUUUGAACCUUCAGAGCAAUGGUGAAAGUUCGAUCUUCAGCGUCUUCCAUGGAGUAGCUCUUGCCACAGAUGCUCCCAGGCAUUACAACAUUUUUGGCUCUGAUACAUUAUUGUUAAAGAAAGAGAAUAAAUUAUGCAGAACAAAUUA